rnacentral:rRNA from 1 species
AACGAACGCUGGCGGCAGGCCUAACACAUGCAAGUCGAACGAGUAAGAGCCGUAGCAAUACGGAGUUCUGCUAGUGGCGCACGGGUGAGUAACGCGUGGGAACGUGUCUUGGAGUUCGGGAUAACAGUUGGAAACGACUGCUAAUACCGAAUAUUCCCUCAGGGGGAAAGAUUUAUCGCUCCAAGAUCGGCCCGCGUAAGAUUAGGUAGUUGGUGGGGUAAUGGCCUACCAAGCCUACGAUCUUUAGCUGGUCUGAGAGGACGACCAGCCACACUGGAACUGAGACACGGUCCAGACUCCUACGGGAGGCAGCAGUGGGGAAUAUUGGACAAUGGGCGAAAGCCUGAUCCAGCCAUGCCGCGUGAAUGAUGAAGGCCUUAGGGUUGUAAAAUCUUUUGCAGGGGAAGAUAAUGACGGUACCUGCGAAUAAGCUCCGGCUAACUUCGUGCCAGCAGCCGCGGUAAU